CCUACGGGUGGCAGCAGUGAGGAAUAUUGGUCAAUGGGCGAGAGCCUGAACCAGCCAAGUAGCGUGAAGGAUGAAGGAUCUAUGGGUUGUAAACUUCUUUUAUAUGGGAAUAAAGUGAGGAACGUGUUCCUUUUUGUAUGUACCAUAUGAAUAAGCAUCGGCUAACUCCGUGCCAGCAGCCGCGGUAAUACGGAGGAUGCGAGCGUUAUCCGGAUUUAUUGGGUUUAAAGGGUGCGUAGGUGGUUUAUUAAGUCAGCGGUGAAAGUUUGUGGCUCAACCAUAAAAUUGCCGUUGAAACUGGUUGUCUUGAGUAUAGUUGAGGUAGGCGGAAUGCGUGGUGUAGCGGUGAAAUGCUUAGAUAUCACGAAGAACUCCGAUUGCGAAGGCAGCUUACUAGACUAUAACUGACACUGAGGCACGAAAGCGUGGGGAUCAAACAGGAUUAGAUACCCCAGUAGUC
rnacentral:rRNA from 1 species